GCAUGUAGCUCAGUGGUAGAGUGCUUGCCUCACAUGUGAGAGGUACUAGGUUCGAUCCUCAGCACCACA
rnacentral:tRNA from 1 species